rnacentral:rRNA from 1 species
UCGAACGAGCGAGAGAGAGCUUGCUUUCUCAAGCGAGUGGCGAACGGGUGAGUAACGCGUGAGGAACCUGCCUCAAAGAGGGGGACAACAGUUGGAAACGACUGCUAAUACCGCAUAAGCCCACGGCUCGGCAUCGAGCAGAGGGAAAAGGAGCAAUCCGCUUUGAGAUGGCCUCGCGUCCGAUUAGCUAGUUGGUGAGGUAACGGCCCACCAAGGCGACGAUCGGUAGCCGGACUGAGAGGUUGAACGGCCACAUUGGGACUGAGACACGGCCCAGACUCCUACGGGAGGCAGCAGUGGGGAAUAUUGCACAAUGGGGGAAACCCUGAUGCAGCGACGCCGCGUGGAGGAAGAGGGUCUUCGGAUUGUAAACUCCUGUUGUUGAGGAAGAUAAUGACGGUACUCAACAAGGAAGUGACGGCUAACUACGUGCCAGCAGCCGCGGUAAAACGUAGGUCACAAGCGUUGUCCGGAAUUACUGGGUGUAAAGGGAGCGCAGGCGGGAAGACAAGUUGGAAGUGAAAUCCAUGGGCUCAACCCAUGAACUGCUUUCAAAACUGUUUUUCUUGAGUAGUGCAGAGGUAGGCGGAAUUCCCGGUGUAGCGGUGGAAUGCGUAGAUAUCGGGAGGA